rnacentral:rRNA from 1 species
UACGAAGGGAGCGAGCGUUGUUCGGAAUCACUGGGCUUAAAGCGUGCGUAGGCGGAUUGGUAAGUAAGAAGUGAAAUCCCAGGGCUUAACCCUGGAACUGCUUUUUAGACUGCCUGUCUGGAAUUCGGUAGAGGUUGGUGGAACUCCUAGUGUAGAGGUGAAAUUCGCAGAUAUUAGGAAGAACACCGGUGGCGAAGGCGACCAACUGGACCGAUAUUGACGCUGAGGCACGAAAGCGUGGGGAGCGAACAGG